UACGUAGGGUGCAAGCGUUGUCCGGAAUUAUUGGGCGUAAAGAGCUCGUAGGCGGUUUGUCGCGUCUGCUGUGAAAAUCCAGGGCUUAACCCUGGACCUGCAGUGGGUACGGGCAGACUGGAGUGCGGUAGGGGAGAUCGGAAUUCCUGGUGUAGCGGUGAAAUGCGCAGAUAUCAGGAGGGACACCGGUGGCGAAGGCGGAUCUCUGGGCCGUAACUGACGCUGAGGAGCGAAAGCAUGGGGAGCGAACAGG
rnacentral:rRNA from 1 species